GCCUCCAUCUUAGUUUAUCUGUCCAUUUCUAGUAAUUAUAAGGCUAUGACCACCCACAAACGAACUUGACUCCCUUUCCCCAUCCUUGCCGUUUUUUUCAGAGGCCAGAGCACUUUCAGGACACUGGACACAAGACCUUCAUUGGUUCCCCAGCAUGCCUGAGUGAACUAUCAAGACCUCUGAUCUCAACUAUUGUCUCACCACAACCCUGCUCUUCCUUUUAUCACUGCAGUCAAGCCCCACGGGACAGCACCAUCUACACACAGUUGUGGGGCCUAAAGUCAUUGCCACCAGGCUUCUUCUACCAGCCACUAUGUCAAAUGUCCUCACAUGUUAACUCCAAACACCUGCUUGGAGAGAGGUCAAAGAACUUGCGCAUACUCGAGUGUGGUAGUGCACACUUGAUUCCCAGCACUCAGGAGAUUGCAAAUAGGAUUGCAAAAUUGAGGUCACAGACUUCCAAAUACUGAGAACUGGAGCACUUGCCUAAGGGUGGAUCAGUGCUUGAUCGCCCAGGCAGUGUAGAAGCCAUCCUAAGGCUGGUGGAUGCCUCGAGGGAGGGAAAGGACGACAGCAAAUAAAUUUAAAGCAUAAUUUUAUGGCCCUACAGCACAGGCCUUUAUGUGGGAAGAGGUUCACUGAGUGCCCCUCUUUACUUCAGUACAAUCAGGGUCCAGGGCAGCAGCUGGCCACUCUGCCAUCCCAUUCUGCCUUGUAGGGGUGUGGGGGCAGCACUCAAGUGGACUGCGUUGAACCUUCUGCUUUGUUCUGGCAGGGCACUGGACAAAGUCCACAGCUAACAGCAUUCUGAAACUUGUGAAUUUGAUAGGUCCUAGACUGGGCUCUGCUCACAUACAAAUAGUUGUCUCUGCUCUUGGAUCUAUAAGUAUCCAGGAUUCUAGUACAUCAGUGAGGUCUGCAUUACUGUCAUGUCAGGAAAUCCCAUACUAGAGGCUACAGUAUGGAAUAAGACUCAAACAGGCCCCAGAUCAAGGGACUAGAUUUGUCUUUGUUACUCUUCAGAAGUAGUAGUAGACAUGUCUCCAUCACCAGGCCACCCGGAGUUGAACUGAUAACUAGUAUUUUGACAAUUAUGAUGUGAUAACUACAGUUCCAUUUUACAGAUGAAGUCACUGAGGCUUAGGGAGAUUAAGCAUGGUACCUAGUUUUUGUGUAAGAGUUUCAUAUUGAAACAUUCUAUCCCAUCCUUUAUGAAGCUCUUUAAAAAGGAAAGUAGACAACUCAAAAUGGCUUCAGGAAGUCCCUGGAACAGACCAGAUUCACUAGGCCCCAACUUGCCAGGAUAAGUAGAGCCAAGCUGCAAAGAAAACUCUCAGACAAGCCAAGUUUUAAAGGAGACUCUUGUUUUUGUUUUUUGUUUUUUUUCGAGACAGGGACGGUCUCUCUGUGUAGCCUUGGCUGUCCUGGAACUCACUCUGUAGACCAGGCUGGCCUCGAACUCAGAAAUCCUCCUGACUCUGCCUCCCGAGUGAAAGGAGACUCUUGAGACCAGAGCAGCUGCCUGGAAGAGAGUUUUAGACCAACUGAGGCACCUAGAAAGGACAUUCCAGAACCUGUUGAGCUGCCUGCAGGCUAUGAUCAGGUUCCCAUCUUUGGGAGCUGUCACUCAUGCUUGGGUGGGCCUUUGGUGAUGCUGCUGUUUGAGCCAUGUCUGUUCUUGUAACUCCAAUAAAAAUUGGGCUUUUGUGGUU
rnacentral:lncRNA from 1 species